rnacentral:rRNA from 1 species
AGCGAACGCUGGCGGCAGGCCUAACACAUGCAAGCCGAACGAACCCUUCGGGGUUAGUGGCGGACGGGUGAGUAACACGUGGGAACGUGCCUUUAGGUUCGGAAUAACUCAGGGAAACUUGUGCUAAUACCGAAUGUGCCCUUCGGGGGAAAGAUUUAUCGCCUUUAGAGCGGCCCGCGUCUGAUUAGCUAGUUGGUGAGGUAAUGGCUCACCAAGGCUACGAUCAUUAGCUGGUCUGAGAGGAUGACCAGCCACAUUGGGACUGAGACACGGCCCAAACUCCUACGGGAGGCAGCAGUGGGGAAUCUUGCGCAAUGGGCGAAAGCCUGACGCAGCCAUGCCGCGUGGAUGAUGAAGGUCUUAGGAUUGUAAAAUCCUUUCACCGGUGAAGAUAAUGACUGUAGCCGGAGAAGAAGCCCCGGCUAACUUCGUGCCAGCCGCCGCGGUAACAC